UAAAAAUCCAAAUCGUACAAGUUGAAAUCUAGAGUUACAAAAGAAACGCUCCUGAUGAGAUAAAAAAUAUAGCUUCUCGCUAUUGAAAGGGACGGAACAUUUUAUAAUGAAUGAAAAACGAACCGCGGAAAAAUUGUAUUUUUGAAACCUAUACCCAAAACUUUUGUAUUCUAUGAGAUUAAGUUAUGAUAUAUCCGAAAUACAACAUUAGAUAACUGGCUUUUUUUGAUAAAGCAUGUUUUUUUGCCUCGCUUUUUUACGUUGCCAGAUCAAAAAUAUAGCUAUACAUACUCGCCAUUUUAACAAUGAAAAAAAAAACGUGGAAAAAUUGUAUUUUGCUUGCAGAAGUUUUCCUAGCCCUAGGUCCGAAACAUACCCAAAACUUUGUAUUCUACGAGAUUAAGUUUUUGAUAUAUCCGAAAUAUGACAUUGGAUAACCGGGUUUUUUGACAAAGCAUUUCUUCUCGCCUAGAUUUUUAACGUUGCCAGAUCUAAAAUAUAGCUACUCGCCAUUUUAACAUUAAAAGUUCAAAAACACAUCUAAUUUAGCAUACCUGUUUUCCAAACACGCAUUCCAGUUACAGCGUUUAUGACAACAGACGUUUGAAAACUUAUCUUCAUCUAUAUUUUUAUCUUAUAAACAUACAGUUGUUUUGCAAAAUAUCCUGAUCACCUCGUGAGUCGUAUUAUAAUUAGUCUAAAUGUCGAACCCCGCAGUGAAAUCCCCGACUUUAUCUAAACUACAACAUUCCCUCAUCACCAUUAUUAAGAAUCCUGAAAAAAGCUUUUGUUUUCUAAUACCACAGAACCCCAAAUACCACAGAACCCCAAAUUAUUCCUUACCUGAAUUAUUCAAAAUAUAUUUGUCGAUCUUUUGCAUUGUGAAAAUCAAACAUACCUGAGAAGAAUUGACCGCUUCCCUCGUUUAGAAAAACUUCCUGAAGCCUUAUAAUUAUUUCCCCGGAAUUACGACAUCGUUACAGACAGACGCAAUACUAAAGGGUUAUUAACCGAGAGCGAG